rfam:Paracoccidioides brasiliensis strain Pb18 mitochondrion, complete genome.
CUAGAUUAUUUCUCCAUCUAACACUACCUAGACAUGCUUUAUGGUAACAUUCUGUAUGAAGCUCUAGGAACAAUGUAGCCUGUUUUAAAUAACAAUGCAAAUAUAUUUAUAUUUAUAUAUAUAUAUAAUAUAUAUUUUCAGGAG